CCUACGGGGUGCAGCAGUGGGGAAUAUUGGACAAUGGGCGAAAGCCUGAUCCAGCCAUGCCGCGUGUGUGAAGAAGGCCUUCGGGUUGUAAAGCACUUUCAGUGGGGAAGAAAGCCUUGGGGCUAAUACCCUCGAGGAAGGACAUCACCCACAGAAGAAGCACCGGCUAACUCCGUGCCAGCAGCCGCGGUAAUACGGAGGGUGCGAGCGUUAAUCAGAAUUACUGGGCGUAAAGCGCGCGUAGGCGGUCUGAUAAGCCGGUUGUGAAAGCCCCGGGCUCAACCUGGGAACGGCAUCCGGAACUGUCAGGCUAGAGUGCAGGAGAGGAAGGUAGAAUUCCCGGUGUAGCGGUGAAAUGCGUAGAGAUCGGGAGGAAUACCAGUGGCGAAGGCGGCCUUCUGGACUGACACUGACGCUGAGGUGCGAAAGCGUGGGUAGCAAACAGGAUUAGAUACCCGAGUAGC
rnacentral:rRNA from 1 species